GACGAACGCUGGCGGCGUGCUUAACACAUGCAAGUCGAACGGUAAGGCUCCAGCUUGCUGGGGUACACGAGUGGCGAACGGGUGAGUAACACGUGGGUGACCUGCCCUGCACUUCGGGAUAAGCCUGGGAAACUGGGUCUAAUACCGGAUAGGACCGCACCGUGAGGGUGUGGUGGAAAGUUUUUUCGGUGUGGGAUGGGCCCGCGGCCUAUCAGCUUGUUGGUGGGGUAAUGGCCUACCAAGGCGGCGACGGGUAGCCGGCCUGAGAGGGUGGACGGCCACAUUGGGACUGAGACACGGCCCAGACUCCUACGGGAGGCAGCAGUGGGGAAUAUUGCACAAUGGGCGGAAGCCUGAUGCAGCGACGCCGCGUGGGGGAUGACGGCCUUCGGGUUGUAAACUCCUUUCACCAUCGACGAAGGGUUUCUGACGGUAGAUGGAGAAGAAGCACCGGCUAACUACGUGCCAGCAGCCGCGGUAAUACGUAGGGUGCGAGCGUUGUCCGGAAUUACUGGGCGUAAAGAGCUCGUAGGUGGUUUGUCGCGUCGUCUGUGAAUUCCGGGGCUUAACUCCGGGCGUGCAGGCGAUACGGGCAUAACUUGAGUACUGUAGGGGAGACUGGAAUUCCUGGUGUAGCGGUGAAAUGCGCAGAUAUCAGGAGGAACACCGGUGGCGAAGGCGGGUCUCUGGGCAGUAACUGACGCUGAGGAGCGAAAGCAUGGGGAGCGAACAGGAUUAGAUACCCUGGUAGUCCAUGCCGUAAACGGUGGGCGCUAGGUGUGGGUUUCCUUCCACGGGAUCCGUGCCGUAGCUAACGCAUUAAGCGCCCCGCCUGGGGAGUACGGCCGCAAGGCUAAAACUCAAAGGAAUUGACGGGGGCCCGCACAAGCGGCGGAGCAUGUGGAUUAAUUCGAUGCAACGCGAAGAACCUUACCUGGGCUUGACAUAUACAGGAUCGCGCCAGAGAUGGUGUUUCCCUUGUGGCUUGUAUACAGGUGGUGCAUGGUUGUCGUCAGCUCGUGUCGUGAGAUGUUGGGUUAAGUCCCGCAACGAGCGCAACCCUUGUCUUAUGCUGCCAGCACGUUGUGGUGGGGACUCGUAAGAAACUGCCGGGGUUAACUCGGAGGAAGGUGGGGAUGACGUCAAAUCAUCAUGCCCCUUAUGUCCAGGGCUUCACACAUGCUACAAUGGUCGGUACAGUGGGUUGCCAGUCCGUGAGGGCGAGCUAAUCCCGCAAAGCCGGUCUCAGUUCGGAUCGGGGUCUGCAACUCGACCCCGUGAAGUCGGAGUCGCUAGUAAUCGCAGAUCAGCAACGCUGCGGUGAAUACGUUCCCGGGCCU
rnacentral:rRNA from 1 species